UAGCUCAGUCAGUUGAGCAUAGCGCUAACAACGCUAAGGUCAUGGGUUCGGUUCCCGU
rnacentral:tRNA from 1 species